CCAAUAGCGUAUAUUAAAGUUGUUGCCGUUAAAAAGCUCGUCGUUGAAUUUUAGGCCUGGCCGGGCGGUCCGUCUUUGGCGAGUACUGUUCUGUGUCGGGUCUUACCUUCUGGUGAACCGGCAUGUUCUUUAUUGAGUGUACCGGGGAGCCAGGACCAUUACCUUGAAAAAAUUAGAGUGUUUAAAGCAGGCAUUUGCUUGAAUAGAUUAGCAUGGAAUAAUAGAAUAGGACGUUGGUUCUAUUUUGUUGGUCUAGGACCACCGUAAUGAUUAAUAGGGAUAGUUGGGGGCAUUAGUAUUCAAUUGUCAGAGGUGAAAUUCUUGGAUUUAUUGAAGACUAACUAUUGCGAAAGCAUUUGCCAAGGAUGUUUUCAUUAAUCAAGAACGAAAGUUAGGGGAUCGAAGACGAUCAGAUACCGUCGUAGUCUUAACCAUAAACUAUGCCGACUAGGAAUCGGGCGACGUUAUUUUCAUGACUCGCUCGGCGCCUUAUG
rnacentral:rRNA from 1 species